ensembl:lncRNA
UCACAGGCCUGUAUCUGCUAUAUAAAUAGCAUUCUCCUCACACUUCUCUGGUUGGUUUAGGAGGGCUUCCUCUGGUUAGUGACCCUGGAGCUGCAGCACAGGCCCUUUUCAGACGGCAGGGUUUCGCUGAGCUCACCUGGAUAAUUCAGGCUCAAUAUCCAUCCCCCAACAUCCACACAUCAUCACAUGUGUAAAAUACUUCCAGCCUGAUAAAAAUGUAUUUACAAUUUCUGGGGAUUAUGGUCUGGACAUCUCUGGAGAUCAUUAUUUUGUCAACCUCCAUAGCACCAGCAGGCCCUCUGCAGUCAGCCCAGAUUCAGCAGAGAGCCCUGCACCAGCAAGAAGGCCUUCACCAGAUGCUGCUUCUCAGCCUUGAACUUUCCAGCCUUCAGAACCAUGAGCCAAAUAAACCUCUUUUUCCUAUAGAUUUCCCAGUCUUUGGUAUUCUGUUGUUUGUUUUUUGAGACAAGGUCUCACUAUGUAGUUCUGGCUGGCCUUGAACUCAUGGCAAUCCUCCUGCCUCAGCCUCCCUAGUGCUGGGAUUACAUAUAUGUUAUACCAACAGAAAAUGAAUUAACACAAUGAC